rnacentral:tRNA from 1 species
GCAGGUGUAGUACAUCGGCUAGUGCGCCAGACUUCCAAUCUGGAUAGACGGGUUCGAUUCCCGUUACCUGCU